UUUAUAGUCAUUUCUACACUCUGCCCUUUCAGUCCUGCUUGGCUUAAUAUCCCUUGAUGCUUUUUUUCCCUUCCAUCACAUUGAUUUGUAAUACAGUUUUCC